GGGCACAUAGCUCAGUCUGGACAGAGCGUCGGACUUCUAAUCCGACGGCCGCGGGUUCAAAUCCCGUUGUGCCCG
rfam:Halonotius sp. J07HN4 genomic scaffold scf7180000001348, whole genome shotgun sequence.